AAUAUGCACCGCAAAAUGCGCACCGGUUUUUAAAAACUGGUGCGAAAAAUAAUAGGCGGGAUUGAGGGGAAGACUUUUCGUACCGGUUCUAACCAAACCGGUGCAAAAAAUGAGUUAAUCGCACCGGUUUGGUUCGAACGGAUGGGAAAGCUAUUAUAAAAAAAAGGGCCUUAUCUUCUUUCUUUCUCUUUCUGUAUUAUGUAUUUCUCUUUCCUCGAUCUAUCCUCCUCUCUCAUUUGCCUCUCAGUCUCUCUCAUCUACAUCAAUGGAGCCUCAAACUCCUUCUCUCUCCUUCAAUCUCCUUCUCCAUAACCGCCGCUUUCCCUUUCCUUUUCUCUCUCCUUCGAUCUCCUUCUCCAUAACUGCGCUGCAAGCAACGCCGCUCUCCUUCUCCUACUCAGUCCGAAAUCGGCCGCCAUCAAUUUGAAACAAAUACAACAACAACAAUAAACUUGAAUUAAUUAUCGAUUCAAAGAUCACAAAUUCGAGGGUUGGUGUGUGAACCAUCAAAUAGUUGAAUUUCAAUUUUUGGGCGUUUGAAGGCGUUGUUCUGGUUGAUGCGAAGCCAUAUAUGGUUCCAUUUGAAUACAAGCCGUAUUUGGAUUCCAAAACAUUGAUGAUCUUGCUUUCAAGUUCGAAUAUUUGCAUCCAUAUAUCGAUGGUGUAUAUAAUCCCAAAAAUCGCACUUUCCAAACAAGCUUCUUCAAUAGCAGAAAGCUGAAUCUUGUGUUUACUGGUGGCCUAGGACUGGAUGAAGUUCCUCCUAUCUCGGUGGAUAGGUCUGGUGUGAAAGCUAAUAUUACUGAGAAUCUUACCCGGCAGAGCAAGGUUACUUAUGGGCUCGUGGUUGAAGAGAUAACAACACGAGAUGAAAGCAGCCAUAUCGCCAUAGCUGGUCAAAGGGUGUUGCCUAAUGGUGGAAUUAGUGUUGAUGGACCCCCAACAACUUUAAGCGAUACUGGUAUUGACCGAGUGGCAUUCUUACAAGCAAAUAUUACACGAGAUAACACAAAGUUUGUAAAUGGAGCUAUAUUUGGUGAUAGAAAUGUGUUUUAGGUAACUUUUGUGUCCUUCCUUUUUGAUCAGUUUCUCCCAUUGUACUAAUGUAUUGCAUCAAUGCCCUAUUUUUAAUAUAGCUAUUACAGGAAUGUAUUAGACAUAGCACCCUAAUUUACGAUUAUUUAAGUCUUUAUAGUCAUGAAGAUUGACUGACGAAUGAAACACUAUUGCUAUGAACACCUUAGAAACAGACAGGAAUUCUCCUUGUUCGGAAGUGGUCUAGCAUAGUUUCCUCUUUUGCACAUUGUAGAUUUCACCUAUUAUCUAUGCAACAUUCCAAUUUGAGCAGCUUAAGUCACAUAUCUUAUGGUUAUGAGUUUACAGGUUUUUCUAAGUUUAAAAAUUCUAGUAUAGAUAGGUU